rnacentral:sRNA from 1 species
UGAAAAGUCAUGUAUAUGACGAAUAGGGU